GCACAGUGGUCUGGAUGGCCAGGGAGAGGGGAACUGAAAUAGGUGGAACUGUUUUCUGAGAGAGACUGGGCUACAAGAGACCCAAGGUCAUGUCUACUUAUCUUCCACCACCUGCCCUCCCCCAAAGAACAAUGGCAGCACAAAAAAUAUCACCAAAACAGAAACGCUCUGAGAAGAAUCCUGACGCAUCUCUCAUAUGUCCUCAAUUGAGAAGAUUUUAAAAAUUUAGACUGAAAAAUUAUUGUCUUCAUUGAGACUUAGAAAAAGCAUCAGGCAGUACUGCUUCAAGUGUGGUCCACGGAUUGGCAGCUUCAGUAUCAGCUGAAAGCUUGUUGGAAAUGCAAAUUCUCCAGCCCCUACUGACUCAGCAUUUCUGGAGUGGGACUCCAAGAAUCGAUUUUAACAAGCUCUCUAAGUGUUUCUUAUGUACAUUAAAAUUUGAGAAGCACUGUU